rnacentral:misc_RNA from 1 species
GGAACAUUUGGAUGCACCUGCAUUCAAGUAGUGCAUUUCAGUAUAAGUUGUUUAUCCAUCAAAAUUAAUUAGAUGCAAUAAGCCUGGAGUAUUAUUGUUUCAACAAAAAUUUAGCGUUUGUUUUCAAAAAUGAGAUCAGAAUAAAAUUCAGGCCAUUUCUAGGAAGAGAAGAUACUUCUAUUUUUCAAAAUUUUUUUUUCUUAUUUCUUUCAUUCCAUUUUAUUUAUUUUGGAUAUACUUAUCAAAUUUAUCAAUGACAUAUGCACAUUAAAUUUGCUAACUUGUAUAAAUCAAAAUAUUAACACUUCAAUGCCAGAUCAAAGGAAGCUUAUGAAGCAUUGGUUUAAUU